CGGAGUGAUGCCCCUUCAGUGACGGACAACGUCCCAAGGGACUCGGCACCGCUCCCCCCAUUGAGGGGACCAGCGGCCUACCACUGUCGCCACCGGCGAUCUUUGGAGCUGCUGGCCCGUCAUCGGGUCCCAGCACCGCUGUCGACGCCGAGGGCUCAGCAGCCGCCGCCGUCGACCCCGGCGAGGGCACCAGCGGGCCGCCGGCGAUCGCCGUUUCAAGGAGGGCUGACCCGUCAUCGGACGUUGUAUUCGAGGACAGCCAGGCAUCCAAC